UACGGAGGGUGCAAGCGUUGCUCGGAAUUACUGGGCGUAAAGCGAACGCAGGCGGUCACUAAGUCGGGCGUGAAAGCCCCGGGCUCAACCUGGGAAUUGCACCCGAUACUGGUAGACUUGAGUCUGAGAGAGGGAAGCGGAAUUCCUGGUGUAGAGGUGAAAUUCGUUGAUAUCAGGAGGAACACCGGCGGCGAAGGCGGCUUCCUGGCUCAGUACUAGACGC
rnacentral:rRNA from 1 species